CCUACGGGGGGCUGCAGUCGAGAAUCAUUCACAAUGGGGGAAACCCUGAUGGUGCGACGCCGCGUGGGGGAAUGAAGGUCUUCGGAUUGUAAACCCCUGUCAUGUGGGAGCAAAUUAAAAAGAUAGUACCACAAGAGGAAGAGACGGCUAACUCUGUGCCAGCAGCCGCGGUAAUACAGAGGUCUCAAGCGUUGUUCGGAAUCACUGGGCGUAAAGCGUGCGUAGGCUGUUUCGUAAGUCGUGUGUGAAAGGCGCGGGCUCAACCCGCGGACGGCACAUGAUACUGCGAGACUAGAGUAAUGGAGGGGGAACCGGAAUUCUCGGUGUAGCAGUGAAAUGCGUAGAUAUCGAGAGGAACACUCGUGGCGAAGGCGACUUUCUGGACUGUACCUGACGCUGAGGCGCGAAAGCAUGGGGAGCGAACAGGAUUAGAUACCCUUGUAGUC
rnacentral:rRNA from 1 species